rnacentral:rRNA from 1 species
AUUGAACGCUGGCGGCAGGCCUAACACAUGCAAGUCGAACGAGUGGCGGACGGGUGAGUAAUGUCUGGGAAACUGCCUGAUGGAGGGGGAUCACUACUGGAAACUGUAGCUAAUACCGCAUACCCUCAGAUGUGCCCAGAUGGGAGUAGCUUGUUGGUGGGGUAACGGCUCACCAAGGCGACGAUCCCUAGCUGGUCUGAGAGGAUGACCAGCCACACUGGAACGGAGACACGGUCAAGACUCCUACGGGAGGCAGCAGUGGGGAAGAUUGCACAAUGGGCGCAAGCCUGAUGCAGCCAUGCCGCGUGUAUGAAGAAGGCCUUCGGGUUGUAAAGUACUUUCAGUGGGGAGGCGUUACCCACAGAAGAAGCACCGGCUAACUCCGUGCCAGCAGCCGCGGUAAUAC